rnacentral:rRNA from 1 species
AUUGAACGCUGGCGGCAGGCCUAACACAUGCAAGUCGAGCGGGGCGGCGGACGGGUGAGUAAUGGCUAGGAAUCGGCCUGGGAGUGGGGGAUAACGUCCGGAAACGGGCGCUAAUACCGCUAACUAUCAGCUGAGCAUGGGUCGGAUUGGCAAGUUGGUGGGGUAAGGGCAUACCAAGGCGACGAUCCGUAACGGGUCUGAGAGGAUGAUCAGUCACACUGGAACUGAGACAAGGUCCAGCCUCCUACGGGAGGCAGCAGUGGGGAAUAUUGGACAAUGGGCGAAAGCCUGAUCCAGCCAUGCCGCGUGUGUGAAGAAGGUCUUCGGAUUGUAAAGCACUUUAAGUUGGGAGGCGUUACCAACAGAAUAAGCACCGGCUAACUUCGUGCCAGCAGCCGCGGUAAUUC